CCUACGGGAGGCAGCAGUGGGGAAUAUUGGACAAUGGGGGCAACCCUGAUCCAGCCAUGCCGCGUGUGUGAAGAAGGCCCUCGGGUUGUAAAGCACUUUCAGUGAGGAAGAACGCCUGGUGGUUAAUACCCAUCAGGAAAGACAUCACUCACAGAAGAAGCACCGGCUAACUCCGUGCCAGCAGCCGCGGUAAUACGGAGGGUGCGAGCGUUAAUCGGAAUUACUGGGCGUAAAGCGCGCGUAGGUGGCUUGAUAAGCCGGUUGUGAAAGCCCCGGGCUCAACCUGGGAACGGCAUCCGGAACUGUCAAGCUAGAGUGCAGGAGAGGAAGGUAGAAUUCCCGGUGUAGCAGUGAAAUGCGUAGAGAUCGGGAGGAAUACCAGUGGCGAAGGCGGCCUUCUGGACUGACACUGACACUGAGGUGCGAAAGCGUGGGUAGCAAACAGGAUUAGAUACCCGAGUAGUC
rnacentral:rRNA from 1 species